ACUUCCCAUAAACAUUGAUUUGGAGAUGUAGUAUAAUUGUGGAAUACAAUCUAGAAGUUUUUCUCCUGUAAAUUCUUUGGUAGUAGUCUAUUUUGCUGGUUCCUAAUUUUCCCUUUUGUACCUUGGAUGCAUUGACCUCGAUGUCGUGCUUUGUAGGUGUUUUUGUUUUGCAAAGUUUUGAACUUUUCAGUUGAUUGUAAUUUUUAGCUGCCAGGAUUCAUGUCCACAGGACAUGCCUGUUAAGUUUAUUAUGAAAAUGUUUUGCAUUUUUGUUGCUUGUUUGUGUUCAGUGCGUUAGGAUGUGCUGGUAUCCUAGACUCUUUGAUUCAGAUACUCUUAGUAUAUCUAUUUAUUCUUCACCAUUUGGCUGUACGAGCAAGGAAACAGAUUAAAUUAAGUCAUGCAUUUAUUGAUCCAAAGGGUUUUCAUAUAACUUAUCGAAUAAUCAACACUUAGACUUGCAUAUGUUUGGCAGAAUUUCCCAAGUGAUUUUGGAUGACUAAAAGUGUUUUUUCUAAAAUUUGCAAUGUUUGGUAACCAAUAAAAAUCACUUGUAAAAAAGCCAAACUGAUUUUAAAAUAUUU